rnacentral:rRNA from 1 species
CCUACGGGAGGCAGCAGUGAGGAAUAUUGGUCAAUGGGCGCGAGCCUGAACCAGCCAAGUAGCGUGAAGGAUGACUGCCCUACGGGUUGUAAACUUCUUUUAUCAAGGAAUAAAGUGAGGCACGUGUGCCUUUUUGUAUGUACUUUAUGAAUAAGGAUCGGCUAACUCCGUGCCAGCAGCCGCGGUAAUACGGAGGAUCCGAGCGUUAUCCGGAUUUAUUGGGUUUAAAGGGAGCGUAGAUGGGAUGUUAAGUCAGGUGGGAAAGUUUGCGGCUCAACCGUAAAAUUGCAAUUGAAACUGGCAGUCUUGAGUGCAGGUGAGGUAGGCGGAAUGCGUGGUGUAGCGGUGAAAUGCUUAGAUAUCACGAAGAACUCCGAUUGCGAAGGCAGCUUACUAGACUGCAACUGACAUUGAUGCUCGAAAGUGUGGGUAUCAAACAGGAUUAGAUACCCGAGUAGUC